AACGAACGCUGGCGGCAUGCCUAACACAUGCAAGUCGAACGAAGCCUUCGGGCUUAGUGGCGCACGGGUGCGUAACGCGUGGGAAUCUGCCCUUGGGUUCGGAAUAACAGUUAGAAAUGACUGCUAAUACCGAAUGAUGUCUUCGGACCAAAGAUUUAUCGCCCAAGGAUGAGCCCGCGUCGGAUUAGCUAGUUGGUGAGGUAAAGGCUCACCAAGGCGACGAUCCGUAGCUGGUCUGAGAGGAUGAUCAGCCACACUGGGACUGAGACACGGCCCAGACUCCUACGGGAGGGCAGCAGUGGGGAAUAUUGGACAAUGGGCGAAAGCCUGAUCCAGCAAUGCCGCGUGAGUGAUGAAGGCCUUAGGGUUGUAAAGCUCUUUUACCCGGGAUGAUAAUGACAGUACCGGGAGAAUAAGCCCCGGCUAACUCCGUGCCAGCAGCCGCGGUAAU
rnacentral:rRNA from 1 species